GGUGAUGAAGAAGAUUAAGAAUGAUUCCAUAACGGUCAGUACAGUAUUUCACAUUCACUGACCUUUUGUGUAAUUUGAUAUGCUCCUUCAGGAAGUCAGCCAUGCUAAACCAUCAUUCAAGAAUGAGUGUGAAAUCAAGACAUUUCAGCAAUGCAAUUCUAAGGAAGUUUACCAUCUGGAGACCCAUUGAAAAUCCACAGAGGUGUGGGACACAAGAAACAAUCGUGAGCAGGCAAGUGGGAAAUUUAGUUAAUUUACUUUUCAAAAGCUUACAUUAUAUAAAAAGUAAAAUAAAAUCUCUACAUAAUAAAAAAAACAACUUAAAAAUGGAGAGAAGUCCAACAAGGGUCUCACUCUGU
ensembl:lncRNA novel transcript